rnacentral:rRNA from 1 species
AGUGAACGCUGGCGGUAGGCCUAACACAUGCAAGUCGAACGGCAGCACAGUAAGAGCUUGCUCUUACGAGUGGCGAGUGGCGGACGGGUGAGGAAUACAUCGGAAUCUACUUUUUCGUGGGGGAUAACGUAGGGAAACUUACGCUAAUACCGCAUACGACCUACGGGUGAAAGCAGGGGAUCUUCGGACCUUGCGCGAUUGAAUGAGCCGAUGUCGGAUUAGCUAGUUGGCGGGGUAAAGGCCCACCAAGGCGACGAUCCGUAGCUGGUCUGAGAGGAUGAUCAGCCACACUGGAACUGAGACACGGUCCAGACUCCUACGGGAGGCAGCAGUGGGGAAUAUUGGACAAUGGGCGCAAGCCUGAUCCAGCCAUACCGCGUGGGUGAAGAAGGCCUUCGGGUUGUAAAGCCCUUUUGUUGGGAAAGAAAAGCAGCAGGUUAAUACCCCGCCGUUCUGACGGUACCCAAAGAAUAAGCACCGGCUAACUUCGUG